CACGUAGGGUGCGAGCGUUGUCCGGAAUUAUUGGGCGUAAAGAGCUCGUAGGCGGUCCGUCACGUCGGGUGUGAAAUUCCAGGGCUCAACCCUGGACCUGCAUUCGAUACGGGCGGACUAGAGUUCGGUAGGGGAGACUGGAAUUCCUGGUGUAGCGGUGAAAUGCGCAGAUAUCAGGAGGAACACCGGUGGCGAAGGCGGAUCUCUGGGCCUUACCUGACGCUCAGGCGCGAAAGCUAGGGGGGCGAACUGG
rnacentral:rRNA from 1 species